UCACAUUUAGAGACUCACUUAUCAAGUGGGAUACCACCUGAGCCCUUGAGAUGUGAGCAAAUGCCUAUAUUUAUCACCAACAGCCCUUUUCCCACAAACUCUUGCCACAUGAUGUCAUAGCAUCUGUUACAUCUCUAAUGACCGGUGCACCCGUACAGUGAAUAAAAUUUUAAUAUAGCAAAAGCUGAACAAGAAAUAGUGAGGCAAAGCUCUCGGAGAGACAGCCCUUGUUUUAUUCAGCAUAUUCACACCUCAAUGCUGCCAGAAAUGCUCCUGGGAUAAGGCCCAUCACCGUUUGUUCUAAAGAUAUCAACUUUCUGGCUGGCUGUGGCAGUAUCCAGUGAAAGAGCUGUGGCUUUAGGUAAAGAAUGAUUGUGCACAUGGACAGCAUCCUUCCUGAACUGGUAAGUUGUAUACAUGUGGAAUAAGAUCUUUUACUUCGGAUUUAUGCCCAUAAAAGUGGUGGAUAAGAAGCUGGCUAAAUUACUGCAGGUAUCUGUAAACUUCAUCUCCAUUUUAUUUUGUUAGAUUUGUUUUGUUGGUUUUUUUUUUUGAUUGCUUUGUUGGGGGUUUUUUUGUGUUUUGUUUGUUUAUUUAUGGAUGUUUUAUCAAUUAGGUAGCUGUCCUUUUGGAUAUACUCACAAUAAUUCAUGUAAAACAUUCACUUUAAUGUGAUUCCCAGUAGA